rnacentral:rRNA from 1 species
UACAGAGGUCUCAAGCGUUGUUCGGAUUCAUUGGGCGUAAAGGGUGCGUAGGCGGCGCGGUAAGUCGGGUGUGAAAUCUCGGAGCUUAACUCCGAAACUGCAUUCGAUACUGCCGUGCUUGAGGACUGGAGAGGAGACUGGAAUUUACGGUGUAGCGGUGAAAUGCGUAGAGAUCAGGAGGAACACCGGUGGCGAAGGCGGCACCCUGGACCGACACUGACGCUGAGGCGCGAAAGCUAGGGUAGCAAACAGG